UUGAUCCUGGCUCACGAUGAACGCUAGCGGGAGGCUUAAUACAUGCAAGUCGAACGGUAACAUGAGAGCUUGCUCUUGAUGACGAGUGGCGCACGGGUGAGUAACGCGUACGCGACCUGCCCUUAAUUGGGGAAUAGCCCUGGGAAACUGGGAUUAAUGCCCCAUAGUAUAUGUAUCGUAGGGAUAUAUAUUAAAGGAUACGAUCUGAUUAAGGAUGGGCGUGCGUGCUAUUAGCUAGUUGGUAAGGUAACGGCUUACCAAGGCGAUGAUAGCUAGGGGGCGUGAGAGCGUGAUCCCCCACACGGGUACUGAGACACGGACCCGACUCCUACAGGAGGCAGCAGUAAGGAAUAUUGGACAAUGUCCGCAAGGGUGAUCCAGCCAUCCCGCGUGCAGGAAGACGGCCCUAUGGGUUGUAAACUGCUUUUAUUAGGGAAGAACGACCUUCAUUAAUGAGGGUGUGACGGUACCUAAAGAAUAAGCACCGGCUAACUCCGUGCCAGCAGCCGCGGUAAUACGGAGGGUGCGAGCGUUAUCCGGAAUCACUGGGUUUAAAGGGUGCGUAGGCGGAAUAGUAAGUCAGGCGUGAAAGGUUACAGCUUAACUGUAGAACUGCGUUUGAUACUGUUAUUCUUGAAUAGAGAUGAGGUCAGCGGAAUGCGACAUGUAGCGGUGAAAUGCAUAGAUAUGUCGUAGAACACCGAUUGCGAAGGCAGCUGACUGGACUUUGAUUGACGCUGAGGCACGAAAGCGUGGGGAGCGAACAGGAUUAGAUACCCUGGUAGUC
rnacentral:rRNA from 1 species